AGUGAACGCUGGCGGUAGGCCUAACACAUGCAAGUCGAACGGCAGCACAGUAAGAGCUUGCUCUUACGGGUGGCGAGUGGCGGACGGGUGAGGAAUACAUCGGGAUCUACUUUUUCGUGGGGGAUAACGUAGGGAAACUUACGCUAAUACCGCAUACGACCUACGGGUGAAAGCAGGGGAUCUUCGGACCUUGCGCGAUUGAAUGAGCCGAUGUCGGCUUAGCUAGUUGGCGGGGUAAAGGCCCACCAAGGCGACGAUCCGUAGCUGGUCUGAGAGGAUGAGCAGCCACACUGGAACUGAGACACGGUCCAGACUCCUACGGGAGGCAGCAGUGGGGAAUAUUGGACAAAGGGCGCAAGCCUGAUCCAGCCAUACCGCGUGGGUGAAGAAGGCCUUCGGGUUGUAAAGCCCUUUUGUUGGGAAAGAAAAGCAGCAGGUUAAUACCCCGCUGUUCUGACGGUACCCAAAGAAUAAGCACCGGCUAACUUCGUG
rnacentral:rRNA from 1 species